GUGGCGGACGGGUGAGUAACACGUAAGAAUUUGCCUCUAGGAGGGGGAUAACAACUGGAAACGGUUGCUAAUACCCCAUAUGCUUUCGAGUGAAAUGGUUUUCCGCCUAGAGAGAAGCUUGCGGCUGAUUAGCUUGUUGGUAAGGUAAUGGCUUACCAAGGCGACGACCAGUAUCUGGUUUGAGAGGACGAUCAGACACACUGGAACUGAGACACGGUCCAGACUCCUACGGGAGGCAGCAGUGGGGAAUUUUCCGCAAUGGGCGAAAGCCUGACGGAGCAAUCUCGCGUGAGGGAUGACGGCCUAUGGGUUGUAAACCUCUUUUUUCAGGGAGGAAUAAAUGACGUGUACCUGAAGAAUAAGCAUCGGCUAACUCCGUGCCAGCAGCCGCGGUAAGACGGAGGAUGCAAGUGCUAUCCGGAAUCACUGGGCGUAAAGCGUCUGUAGGUGGUUUAAUAAGUCAACUGUUAAAUCUUGAAGCUCAACUUCAAAAUCGCAGUCGAAACUAUUAGACUAGAGUAUAGUAGGGGUAAAGGGAAUUUCCAGUGGAGCGGUGAAAUGCGUAGAGAUUGG
rnacentral:rRNA from 1 species